rnacentral:rRNA from 1 species
GCGGCGUGCUUACACAUGCAAGUCGGACGGAUCGGGAGAGCUUGCUUUUCUGGUUAGUGGCGAACGGGUGAGUAACACGUGAGUACCUGCCCUUCACUCUGGGAUAACUCCGGGAAACCGGGGCUAAUACUGGAUAUGACCUGCUCGCGCAUGCGAAGUGGGUGGAAAGAUUAUUGGUGGGGGAUGGACUCGCGGCCUAUCAGCUUGUUGGUGAGGUAAUUGGCUCACCAAGGCGACGAUGGGUAGCCGGCCUGAGAGGGCGAUCGGCCACACUGGGACUGAGACACGGCCCAGACUCCUACGGGAGGCAGCAGUGGGGAAUAUUGCACGAUGGGCGCAAGCCUGAUGCAGCGACGCCGCGUGAGGGAUUAAGGCCUUCGGGUUGUAAACCUCUUUCAGCAGGGAAGAAGCGAGAGUGACGGUACCUGCAGAAGAAGCACCGGCUAACUACGUGCCAGCAGCCGCGGUAAUACGUAGGGUGCAAGCGUUGUCCGGAAUUAUUGGGCGUAAAGAGCUUGUAGGCGGUUUGUCGCGUCUGCUGUGAAAUUUCGGGGCUCAACCCCGAACUUGCAGUGGGUACGGGCAGACUAGAGUGUGGUAGGGGAGACUGGAAUUCCUGGUGUAGCGGUGAAAUGCGCAGA